AAGAUCUCAAGAGUUAUCAUCAAGUCUGGACCACAGUUAACUCAAGUGGGAGACAGUGUGAAGGUUAAGGUUUGCUUUAUAGAUGAAGGUAAAGAGUCACUCGUGGAAAUCGACCAUCUUUUGCUUUUACCUGAAGAAUGGAAACAGGUUUCUCCACAAGCUGUUGAGGUCUUUAUGUGUCGACUCCAACCUCUAGAUGGAGACGUAGAGUGGACUCCUCAGGCCAAUACCUUUAUUCAUCACCUAAUACAUGGGAAGGAGUUGCUAGG